rnacentral:rRNA from 1 species
GAUGAACGCUGGCGGCGUGCUUAACACAUGCAAGUCGAACGGGAUCCCCUGGGUGCUUGCACUUAUUGGUGAGAGUGGCGAACGGGUGAGUAACACGUGAGUAACCUGUCCUUUUCUUUGGUUUAAGCUUUCGAAAGGGUGUUUAAUACCUUAUGUUCUAUCUGCCUCGCAUGGGGUGUGUGGUAAAGGCUUUGGCCGUAUUUGGGUGGGCUGGCGGUCUAUCAGCUGGUUGGUGGGGUGAUGGCUUACCAAGGCUUUGACGGGUAGCCGGCCUGAGAGGGUGGUCAGUCAGAGUGGGACUGAGAGACGGGCCAGACACCGGCGGGAGGCAGCAGGGGGAGAGAUUGAAGAAUGGGCGAAAGACUGAUGCAGCGAGGCCGCGGGGGGGAUGAAGGCGGGCUGGUUGUAAACUUCGUUUGCUCGGAACAAGGCAUGCCAGUGGGGGUGUUGAGGGGAGGGGUUGAUUAGCGCCGGCUAACUACGUG